AUGCUCCGGAACCCGACGAGCGCAGGCAGGCGGCCGCAACCGCACCCACACCCGACGAGUCCGCCGCUCACGACAACGGCCGCCGGAGCAGCAGCUCAACACCAUCGUCCUCCCGCAUAUGUCACCCCCGAGCUGCCGCCCGCGAGCCACCACCACCACCGCCCCAAACCUCGUCCAUUCGCCCUCCGGUCCGCAGCGCAAGCCAUGACGCCCCUGACGCGGCGGCGGCUGCUGACCACGCUGCUCUGCCUGUGCGCGCUCGCCGCCCCGGCGCGGUCCCAGAACGCGAGCGCCACGCCGGCGCCGGCCAGCGUGGAGGGGUUCAACUGCUCCGCCAACGGCACCUACCCUUGCCAGGCCUACGCGCUGUACCGGGCGGGCUUCGCGGGGGUGCCGCUCGACCUCGCGGCGGAGGGCGACCUCUUCGGCGUCAGCCGCUUCAUGCUCGCGCACGCCAACAACCUGUCCACCUCGGCCGCGCCGGCCGCGGGGCAGCCGCUGCUCGUGCCGCUCCAGUGCGGCUGCCCCUCCGGGUCGCCCAACGCCUACGCGCCCACGCAGUACCAGAUCAGCUCCGGCGACACCUUCUGGAUCGUCUCCGUCACCAAGCUGCAGAACCUCACGCAGUACCAGGCCGUGGAGCGCGUCAACCCCACGGUGGUGCCCACCAAGCUCGAGGUCGGGGACAUGGUCACGUUCCCCAUCUUCUGCCAGUGCCCCACCGCCGCCCAAAACGCCACCGCGCUCGUCACCUACGUCAUGCAGCAGGGCGACACCUACGCCUCCAUCGCCGCCGCCUUCGCCGUCGACGCGCAGUCCCUCGUCUCCCUCAACGGGCCCGAGCGGGGCACGCAGCUCUUCUCCGAGAUACUAGUGCCGCUCCGUCGGAAGGUGCCGCAGUGGCUGCCGCCAAUCGUGACCCGCAACGACGUGUCGGCCACGCCGCCGUCCCCGCCGCCUACCGCGACGCCCGGUCCGAGCGACGUGGCCGACAACCGAGACGGGGUGGUCACCGGGCUGGCCGUCGGGUUGGGCGUGGUCGGUGGGCUGUGGCUGCUGCAGCUGCUGCUCCUGGGCUGCCUGUGGAGGCGGCUCAAGUCGAACGGGCGGCGAGGGGACGCGGUCGCGAGCGGCGACGGCGGCAGGUCUGGCAAGAGCGCGUCCGGCUCCGGCGGCGUGGGAGGGGAGAGAUUCCUAGUGAGUGACAUAUCCGAGUGGCUGGACAAGUACAGGGUGUUCAAGGUGGAGGAGCUGCAGCGCGGCACCGACGGUUUCGACGACGCGCACCUCAUCCAGGGCAGCGUGUACAAGGCCAACAUCGGCGGCGAGGUCUUCGCUGUGAAGAAGAUGAAGUGGGAUGCCUGCGAGGAGCUCAAGAUCCUGCAGAAGGUGAACCACAGCAACCUGGUGAAGCUGGAGGGGUUCUGCAUCAACACGGCGACGGGCGACUGCUUCCUGGUGUACGAGUACGUGGAGAACGGGUCCCUGGACCUGUGCCUGCUGGACCGCGCCCGCGCGCGGCGGCUGGACUGGCGCACGCGCCUCCACAUCGCGCUGGACCUCGCCCACGGCCUCCAGUACAUCCACGAGCACACCUGGCCGCGCGUGGUGCACAAGGACGUCAAGAGCAGCAACGUCCUCCUGGACGCCCGCAUGCGCGCCAAGAUCGCCAACUUCGGCCUCGCCAAGACCGGCCACAACGCGGUCACCACCCACAUCGUGGGCACGCAGGGCUACAUCGCGCCCGAGUACCUCGUCGACGGCCUCGUCACCACCAAGAUGGACGUGUUCGCCUACGGCGUCGUCCUGCUCGAGCUCGUGUCCGGCCGCGAGGCCGCCGGGGACGGCGGCGGCGGCGACCUGCUGCUGGCCGACGCGGAGGAGAAGGUGUUCCGCGGCCGGGAGGACAGGCUGGAGGCGCGCGCGGCCGCGUGGAUGGACCCCGUGCUCGCCGACCAGAACUGCCCGCCGGGGAGCGUGGCCACCGUGAUGGGCGUGGCCAGGGCGUGCCUGCAGCGGGACCCGGCCAAGCGGCCGAGCAUGGUGGACGUGGCCUACACCCUGUCCAGGGCGGACGAGUACUUCGCGGACUACUCCGGCGAGAGCGUGUCCGUGGAUGGCAGCGGCGAGAUCGCCGCGCGGUGA
rnacentral:rRNA from 1 species